UACGGGGGGGGCAAGCGUUGUUCGGAAUUACUGGGCGUAAAGGGCGCGUAGGCGGCCUGCUAAGUCGGACGUGAAAUCCCUCGGCUCAACCGGGGAACUGCGUCCGAUACUGGUGGGCUCGAAUCCGGGAGAGGGAUGCGGAAUUCCAGGUGUAGCGGUGAAAUGCGUAGAUAUCUGGAGGAACACCGGUGGCGAAGGCGGCAUCCUGGACCGGUAUUGACGCUGAUGCGCGAAAGCCAGGGGAGCAAACGGG
rnacentral:rRNA from 1 species